GAUGAACGCUGGCGGCGUGCUUAACACAUGCAAGUCGAACGAUGAGGCCCAGCUUGCUGGGUGGAUUAGUGGCGAACGGGUGAGUAACACGUGAGUAACCUGCCCUUAACUCUGGGAUAAGCCUGGGAAACUGGGGCUAAUACCGGAGAGGAGCGUCCACCGCGUGGGGGGGGUUGGAGAGAUUUAUCGGUUUUGGAUGGACUCGCGGCGUAUCAGCUUGUUGGUGAGGUAAUGGCUCACCAAGGCGACGACGGGUAGCCGGCCUGAGAGGGUGACCGGCCACACUGGGACUGAGAUACGGCCCAGACUCCUACGGGAGGCAGCAGUGGGGAAUAUUGCACAAUGGGCGCAAGCCUGAUGCAGCGACGCCGCGUGAGGGAUGACGGCCUUCGGGUUGUAAACCGCUUUCAGUAGGGAAGAAGCGAAAGUGACGGUACCUGCAGAAGAAGCACCGGCUAACUACGUG
rnacentral:rRNA from 1 species